GGUCACAAGACUGUAACGUAUCUGACCCUUCAAGGCAAUGACCAGGAUGAUAUGUUUCCCGCAUUGUGUGAGGUCUUGAGACAUCCAGAAUGUAACCUGCGAUAUCUCGGGUUGGUGUCUUGUUCCGCUACCACUCAGCAGUGGGCUGAUCUCUCCUUGGCCCUUGAAGUCAACCAGUCCCUGACGUGCGUAAACCUCUCCGACAAUGAGCUUCUGGAUGAGGGUGCUAAGUUGCUGUACACAACUUUGAGACACCCCAAGUGCUUUCUGCAGAGGUUGUCGUAAGUCUCUCCUCUCUUACAGAGCAGCUGUGCUUUCGAUCUGGGGCCACAGACGAGCAAUGGUCAUGCCUGACUUGGCUGUAUGGAACCUCUCGCUGAUGUGAACACCUGUUCCCAUGUUUAGAUCCAGGCCGAUGGCCUGUGAAUUUUGUUCUUCUCUCAUUCCUAUUCCUUCAUAGGAUCACCAGUGCAUGAUAGAAGGUGGGGAGUUCACAAGAAGGGGCUUUUGGAUGCUGGCACUUGUGGAGCUAGCCGGGAAGGUUGAAGUUGGACCUGUCAACCGUGUUGCCAUUUGUGAUUCUUUUGUAGGUUGGAAAACUGUCACCUUACAGAAGCCAAUUGCAAGGACCUUGCUGCUGUGUUGGUUGUCAGCCGGGAGCUGACACACCUGUGCUUGGCCAAGAACCCCAUUGGGAAUACAGGGGUGAAGUUUCUGUGUGAGGGCUUGAGGUACCCCGAGUGUAAACUGCAGACCUUGGUGCUUUGGAACUGCGACAUAACUAGCGAUGGCUGCUGCGAUCUCACAAAGCUUCUCCAAGAAAAAUCAAGCCUGUUGUGUUUGGAUCUGGGGCUGAAUCACAUAGGAGUUAAGGGAAUGAAGUUCCUGUGUGAGGCUUUGAGGAAACCACUGUGCAACUUGAGAUGUCUGUGGUUGUGGGGAUGUUCCAUCCCUCCGUUCAGUUGUGAAGACCUCUGCUCUGCCCUCAGCUGCAACCAGAGCCUCGUCACUCUGGACCUGGGUCAGAAUCCCUUGGGGUCUAGUGGAGUGAAGAUGCUGUUUGAAACCUUGACAUGUUCCAGUGGCACCCUCCGGACACUCAGGUUGAAAAUCGAUGACUUUAAUGAUGAACUCAAUAAGCUGCUGGAAGAAAUAGAAGAAAAAAACCCACAACUGAUUAUUGAUACUGAGAAACAUCAUCCCUGGGCAGAAAGGCCUUCUUCUCAUGACUUCAUGAUCUGAAUCCCCCCGAGUCAUUCAUUCUCCAUGAAGUCAUCGAUUUUCCAGGUGUUGGUGAACUGCCUGUGACUCCUCUCCUCCCCGGCCCCUACCCCUCAGGGAUAAUGAGUUCAUUGCUGGGCUAGAUGUUUUAGCCAUGAUUCUGCCUCUGUUUUAUACCUGCACACAUCCUUAUCUUUGUUACAUAUGAAAUAUCUGUAUCACGGGUAUAUUGAGAGAAAUAAAGGUGAGAGCAUUCACAAA
rnacentral:lncRNA from 1 species